CUUUUGUUCUACGACAUAAAGCACAUCAAUAAAUACCCCACUAAUGGAAGCCAUUUUGUUUCUUAAAAAAGGCGGUUGCUAACAAGUGGCUAAAUGAGACUACUAAACGUCAUCACGCCAACUCGUCUGCCGUUACAGCCUCGUCGUUUAUACUCGCGCUCAUGCGACCGUGGUGUAGUUCGUUUAUAGCCUAACGUUAGCUUUAUACAUCUGGCGAUUGGAUUC